CAACCUAGCUUAAAGGAUCCUCACAUACUGCAGUGAUGACUCUGUGCACAGACCAAGGAAGGAGAAGCCGCAGGAGCCAGUAAACUCAGGAGCAAAGGCUGGAGGUGAACCCCUCAAUGUAAGUGUCAAGGGACAACAUUCCUGCCUGAUAUGUGAGCCAAUCAGGAGUUCACUACAAUCCGUGAAGCCAUAACCAGGGACAUUCAAACUGCAAACCAGGGCUGCAGUGAAUGCUGAAAUGAAAAAGAGAGCUAUGGAUAUCAAGAUGAAAAAGAGGUAUGAAGAUUGAAAAGAAAUAGAUCAUAUUUUUCACAAUAUGACCAUCAAGAAAAUUCAAAGGAAGAGACACAUGGAACAUUCAAAUGAAUAAGAGACUUCAGAAGACAGCAUACAAAGACCACUGCAGCGAAUACAAGAGACUUGUCACAGAUGAGCAACUUAGAACAUAAAAUGAAAAAUAUACCAUCCCCAACAGCAUUUAAAUCCAAAAUAUAAAGAAGAAGAAGCCUAACCAAAAUAUGCAAGACAUUUACAGAAGCAACUGUACAAGUUUGCUGACAGAUUCAGAGAAAAAAUUCCCAAAUAAAUGGAGUAGUAUAUGAUGUUCACUGAUGAGGAAUAGAAUACAGCAAAGGUGUAAAUCUUACUUAAAUUAAAUAAACAGUUAAUGCCUA
rnacentral:lncRNA from 1 species